CUUGCCCAACCCCCUCCCCCCUCACCUCCAGCAGGGCAGAGUUCUGCUUCAGGACGUUGGUUUUUAUUUCAGCGUCUUCCACCGACUGGGUCACCUUCAGGCAGUUCUCCUGGCUGGUGAUGGAGUCUUUGGCACGGACCAAUCCACUGUUGACCCCACUCUGGGGAAGAAUGGGAGAAGGCAGGCACUGGAAAAAAAUUUUAAGAUGACCCACUUUCCAGAUAUAAGUGCUCACUGAGCACCAUGCCACACACACACACACACACACACACACACACACACACACACAUUUCCUUUUCAGUCCUCUAAGCCACACCUUUUGAGGCUUUUUGGCCCAAUCUGCAAGUGAGGAAAAUGAGGCUUAGAGAUACAAUCCCCCCUUGAAUUCCCAGGUACACAGUGCGUGAGAUGGCCUUGUCAGAUUUUAAACCCAGAGCCUCUGUUUUAAACCAUGACACCACAUAGCCUCUGAUCAUCGCCACAUUAUAUCACCAGAAGAUGCUUUAGGACUCAUGCGAAGCCAACUGUGGCCCAAGAGGGAUGCAGGUGGCAGGAUCCACUGUCUGCUCUUCCACAUUUUUAGAUGACUUAGCCCGGCACACGACUGUCCAGGCAAAGACUACAUUUCCCAGGCUCCCUUGCAGGCAGGUGUGGCCACACGACAAAGUUUCAGCCAAUGGGAUGUGAGGAGCAGUAAGGUAGGCAUUUUCUAAGUCAUGCCUUUCUUAAAGGAAAAGAGGGAAAACAUCCCCCUUUCUCUCUUCUUGCUGGCUGGAGUUCAAGGUUGGUGGCUAAAGCCAGAGCAAACAUCUUGACCACCAGUUGCAGGACACAACAAGAUAGAGAAGGCUGAGUCCUCAGUACUGUGGAGCCGCUGUACUCAAAUUCCAACCACUGACCAUGAUGUCCAUGUGAGAGAGAACAUCUUCCAUCGUGUUUAGCCUGUGCUAUUUUGUGUCUUUUUGUUACUGGCAGCCACACUUGCGACUCUAUAGCUGAACCUCCAGAACACGGAGCCUGUAACGCACUUCAUUUGAAGAGCAAGCCUGCUCCGCUUGUUGAGAUUAUCAUGUGAGAGAGAAAUAAAGUAUCUUGCCUAAGCCA